rnacentral:tRNA from 1 species
GCCUCGGUAGCUCAGUUGGUAGAGCACUUGGUUGAAGCCCAGGGUUGCGUAGGUUCAAGCCCUACCUGAGGCACCA